rnacentral:lncRNA from 10 species
GAGGUUUGAGGCCCCGUUUUGCUGCUCACUAGCUACAUGAUCUUGGGCAAGUUAUUUAAGCUCUCUGAGCUUCAGUUUCUUCCUCUGCAGAAUGGGGAUGAAAGUGGACUACUACCUCAUGGCAUGUUUUGAGGAUGAAAUGAGCUAAUAAACACAGUCUUCAGCCCUACAUUAGGAUGGCCUAAGGAAAACAAGAAGACUGAAUGAUAUUCCCUGCUGACUUAUAUAAGUUAUUAGUCUUCUAGAAGGAUCACAAGGAACCAGCAUCAAAGAAAUGGAAUCCAGCUAAUUCCCCCAAGAAACUGAAGUUUUCGGGACAUGACUUGUGAAAGGCAAACAUAAGCUGACAUCUUUUCACACUGAACAGCAAGAGCCAAAGUGUAUCCGAAAAGCCAUUGUCAAAACAAGGAGUGAGAACAGCUGGGGUCAAGACCUAAUGAAGGGCAUCACUCAGCCUCUUUGAGCCUCGGAUUCCUCAUUUGUAAAGUGGGCAUAAUAAUACCUCACAGGGUAGUUAUGAGGGCAAAUGAGAUAAUGGACACGAAGGCACCUGUACACUCCACGGUGCUAUCAGAAUAUUGACUAUUAGUGCUUUCAUCACGCGGCUCCAUCCAAACCCCUGCUUUCCCUCACUCCAGUAAGUGGUUGCCCUCCACCCACCCCCCAUCUUCUAAUAAUGUAGACUGGAAACCCAAGCAUCAUCUUUGUCCUCCUUUUCAUUCCCUGACCCCAGUUGGUCUUCAUCCACAGUCUCUUUUUUUUUUUUUCUUUUUUGAGACAGAGUCUCACUCUGUCACAGAGGCUGGAGUGCAGUGGCGCGAUCUUGGCUCACUGCAACCUCUACCUCCUGGGUUCAAGCGAUUCUCCUGACUCAGCCUCCCAAGUAGCUGGGACUAAAGGUGCCCACCACCACACACAGCCACUUUUUCUAUUUUUAGUACAGACGAGGUUUCACCAUGUUGGCCAGGCUCCUGACCUUGAACUCCUGACCUGGUUUUGCUCCUGACCAGGCUCCUGGUCUUGAACUCCUGACCUCGUGAUCCACCUGCCUUGGCCUCCCAAAGUGCUGGGAUUACAGGCGUGAGCCACUGUGCCCGGCCCAUCCCUCAGUCUAUAUUUCCAUAACUGGAAGAAUCUCCUAAGUGGGCUGUAAUCUAGCCUUGCGUGACUCCAUCCUGCUCACUAAUAAAGAAAUAAUCCUCUUAAAAUCACACUUGGAUUAUUCUUUUCCGUUUUUCAGAAACUUUCAAUGGUUUCCCAUUGCCUGCAGAAUAAAGUCCAACCUUCAAAGUAGCUGGAAUUAAAAACCAUUAACAAUCUGGCCUCCCUACCUAAAUAACAUCAAUGAGAGGGCCACACAGAAGUCAGAUAUAUGGAAAUUAAAACAUGUUUUACUGGUGGAUAAAUGCUGUACUAGAGGAUAGGUUAUGUGGCCAAAAGAGUUUGCUGACAAUUUCUGCUUCCCAUUCCCCCAGUCUAGACCUUCAGACACAGUCCACCUGAGGCUUGUCUUCCUCUCCGUGGUCAUUUAGAGUUGAUCCUACUCAUCCUUUUCCCCCACUGCAGGCUUCCCAAGGGUUCCUGCAGCCCUUGGCAUCUGUCUCACUCACCUGUCCCUUCGCAUGUUCUGCCAUGAUGUUUAGCUUCUUUCUUGAGAGUAUGCCCUCUUCAUAGAAGUCAGAAACUCCUGGCCCACUGGCUAAACCUGAUCCCUAGAGGUUUUUCUGACUCUCACAAUGUUGGCCUGCACUGUGUUUGACAAUGCAUCAACUUACCUGACAAUUUGUAUUCUAUUUAUUUUUUUUUAGAAGAGGAGUCUCACUUUGUCACCCAGCCUGGAGUGCAGUGGUGAGAUCAUAGCUCACUGCAGCCUUGACCUCAUGGGCUCAAAAAAUCCUCCUGUUGGGACUACAGAUGCUCACCACCAUGCCUGGCUAAUUUAAAAUUUUUUUGUAGAGACAGGGUCUCACUAUAUUGUCCAGACUGGUCUCAAAUUCCUGGCCUCCACCAAUCCUCCCACCUCAUUCUCCCAAAGUGCUGGGAUUAUAGGCAUGAGCCACUGCGUCUGGCCUAUAUUCUAAAAAAAUUCUGCUGAGAAACUAGGAAAGCUAGCAGCCUUGGUUUCUCAGGUUUGACUUGCAACAAUUGACUUCUUGUAAAUGUUGCCUAUAUUGCUUUCUCUACCACCUCAACAUCAACUUUUUCCCAAUUCGCUCCUCAUAUUUCUGCUAUUUCAUGAAGAUUGCUCUUGUUAAUGUCACCAAGAGCCUCCACAAUUGCCAAAUCCAGUAGUUUGUCUCUGCUUUUGUCUUACUUGCCCUUUUGGCAGCAUUUGCCACUUAAUCAUGCUUUUCUUUUUUCUUUUUUAGACAGGCUUUUACUCUGUCACCCAUGCUGGAGUGCAGUGGUGCAAUCUUGGCUCACUGAAACCUCUGCCUCCUGGAUUCAAGCGAUCCUCCCACCUCAGCCUCCCGAGUAGCUGGGACUACAGGUGAGGGCCACCAUGCCUGGUAAUUUUUGUAUUUUUAGUAGAGACAGGGUUUCACCAUGUUGACCAGGCUGGUCUCAAACUCCUGACCUCAGGUGAUCUGCCCGCCUUGGCUUCCAAAAGUGCUGGGAUUACAGGCAUGAGCCACCAUGCCUGGUCGACACUUAAUCAUUCUCUACUUGUUUUUUUAAAAUUUUAUUUUUACAGUGUCACUCUCAGGAUAUCUACUUCUUAAAAUACUUUUUCUCCCUCUUGGAUUCCGUAACAACCCAUUUUGCGGGUCCCUCUUAAUCUGCUUUGCUGACUUCUGUCCGUUGUUCCAAGUCAGGUGGUCUCAGCUUGGUCUAGCAUCCUCUUCUCUAUUUGUACAUUCUUCCUAAAUGAUUUCAUCUAGCUUCAAAUCUUUAAAAGCCAUCUAUUUGCCAUGACUACUAACUUUGGAUUUGUAGCCUAGGCUCCUCCCUAGAACUCUACUAAUAGCCUACUUGAUAUCUAAAAAUGAAUUUCUUUCUUUCUCUCUUUUUUUUUUUGAGACGGAGUCUCACUCUGUCGCCCAGGCUGGAGUGCAAUGGCGUGAUCUUGGCUCACUGCAACCUCUGCCUCCUGGGUUCAAACAAUUCUCCUGCCUCAGCCUCCCAAGUAGGCAUGAGUAGGAUUGCUAAUUUUUGUAUUUUUAGUAGAGAUGGGGUUUCGUCAUGUUGGCCAGGGUGGUCUCAAAACUCCUGACCUCAGAUGAUCCACCUGCCUCGGCUUCCCAAAGUGCUAGGAUUACAGGCGUAAGCCACUGCUCCCGGCUAUGAAUUGAAUUUCUAAUAAGCAGCUUAAACUUAAAAAAGAAGUUUUGGAGUUUUAUCUCCCAAACCCCUGCUUCUUCUCCUCUUCUUCCUUUCUCAGUAAAUAGCACCACUAUCUACCCUCAGAGCAAAAAAAAAACCUAGUAGCUCUCUCUCCUCAUCUUCCACAUUCAAUCCCUCAACAAGUCUUAUGUUCCAAAAACACACUUCUCUUUAGCAGAUGCCAUAAUGUGCUACGCAGAGCCCUUCCCAGGACUGCAGGACUUAUUCCCACAGCUGCUGGGCAUGCUGCCACCUCACAGCCCUCUGCCCUCUCCGCAAAUUGCCCUCAGCUGCAGAGAGCCACCUUACCCAAGAUCACAUCCCUUCCUGCUUGCAUAUAAAGGCCCACUCCCUCAGUAACCCAAGACAACUCUGGAAGGCCACCCCAGCACAUCCCAGUGCUGCCUGUGGGGUCAGCUAAGGCCCUCAUGGAGACCUCCUCAGAGCCCAGCAUCUCCUCCUGCCUAGACUGUGUCCUUCCCUCCCCUUCUGGAAACCAAAUCUGCAACAUUAUCCCAAGUGUACCUGCCUCUUUCUAUCUUGCUGUUACGAUUUUGGUUAAGCCACCACCUUCUCUCACCUUGACUGCUGCAUUGCCUUUCCCCGUCUCCUUGCUUUUGCUCUUCAUUCGACCAUUCAUUUCUUUCACAACUGUCAGCUAUUCAUACUGUUUUGCUGUGUCUCCACCCAAAUCUCAUUUUGAAUUGUAACUCCCACAAUUCCCGCGUAUUGUGGGAGGAACCCGGUGGGAGGUGACUGAAUUAUGAGGGCGGGUCUUUCCUGCGCUGUUCUCGUGAUAGUAAAUGAGUCUCACGUGAUCUGGUGGUUUAUUUAUUUUAUUUUAUUUAUUUAUUUUUUUGAGACAGAGUCUCGCUCUGUCGCCCAGGCUGGAGUGCAGUGGCGCGAUCUCGGCUCACUGCAAGCUUGGCCCCCUGGGUUCACGCCAUUCUCCUGCCUCAGCCUCCCGAGUAGCUGGGACUACAGGCGCCCGCCACUACGCCCGGCUAAUUUUUUGUAUAUUUAGUAGAGAUGGGGUUUCACCGUGUUAGCCACGGUGGUCCCGAUUUCCUGACCUCGUGAUCUGCCCGCCUUCACCUCCCAAAGUGCUGGGAUUACAGGCGUGAGCCACCACGCCCGGCGAGAUCUGAUGGUUUAAAAAAACAAGAGGUCCCCUGCACAAGCUCUCUCUUUGCCUGCUGCCAUUCAUGCAAGAUGUGACUUGCUCCUUUUUGCCUUCUGCCAUGAUUGUGAGGCCUCCCCAGCCACGUGGAACUGUGAGUCCAGUUAAACCUUUUCUUUUAUAAAUUGCCCAGUCUUGGGUAUGUCUUUAUCAGCAGUGUGAAAAUGGACUAAUACAGCUAUGUUUUAUUUUUUAUUUUCUUAGGGAUAGAGUCUUGCUCAGUCCAUUCUCAGCUGGAGUACAGUGGCACAAUCAUAGCUCACUGCAGCUUCAAACUCCUGGACUGAAGCAAUCCUCCCACCUCAGCCUCCCACCUCAGCCUCCCCAGUAGCUGGGACUACAGGCAUGCGUUAUCAUGCCAGGCUGAUUUUUAUUUUUUAUUUUUUUCAAGAUGGGGGUCUUGAUACGUUGCCCAGGCUGGUCUAGAACUCCUGGCUUCAAGCGAUCCUUUUGCCUUGGCCUCCCGAAGUGCUGGGUUACAGGUGUGAGCCACUGCACCUGACCCUAGUUAUCUUUUUAAGAUAUUCUGUUUAUUUGAUCUUAUUUCAUUAGAUUAUAUUUGAUACAAAAAUGUAACAUAUAUACAAUUUAAGAAGUGUAAAACAAAUGAGCCUAUGAACUGUCCACUCAAAUUCUGAACUAUUGACAUAGCCUGUAUGCAUUUCCCUGAUUGUAACCCCUCCCUACUCUUCAGAAGUAAACACAAUUCUGGAUUUUUUUUUUUGUUAUUCCUAUACUUACAUCUUUAUAAUUGUAGCAUAGAUGUAUUUAUUGCUAAACAAUAUACAGUUUAGUUUCUCUUUUUUUUUGAGAUUUAUAUGUGGAGCCAUAGUAUAUUUUCUGCAAUUUGUUUUUUUCCGCAUUCAACAUUGUAUUUCUGAUCUAAUGUAAUCAUUUAUAUUGAAGUUUGUAACUGAGGUUUAUUCAUUUCCAUGCUUACAGAGGUAUUAAAUUAGUCAAUUAAAAAUACUGCAAAUUGUAAAUAGUUUAUUUAUCCUUGUUGAUGGACAUUUUCCUUGUAUUUUUAGCAAUCUGUUAGACGAAGGUUUUCCAUUUUUGUACAUGGUUUUUGGUGCUUAUGUGCAAGAAUUUCUCCAGCAUAUAUACCUAGGAAUAAAACUGAUGAAUUUAGUGCAUGCAAAUGUUCAGUUGUAGAAGAUAAUGCCAAGUUGUUUUUCUUUUCCUCUCUUUUUUUUUUUUUUUUUUGGACAGAGUCUCAUUCUCACCCAGGCUAGAACCGCCUCCGGGGUUCAAGCAAUUCCUGUGCCUCAGCCUCCGGAGUAGCUGAGAUUACAGGCACACGUCACCACGCCAAGCUAAUUUUUGUAUUUUUAGUAGAGAUGGGGUUUCACCAUGUUGGCCAGGCUGGCCUUGAACUCCUGACCUCAAGUGAUCUGCCUGUCUUGGCCUCCCAAAGUUCUGGGAGUAGAGAGAUGAGCCAGUGCGCUCUGUCUAUUUUGACAGUUAUUUUAUCUCAGCAGUUUAAAUAUAUCAUGCUAAUGUGUCUGGUAUUUAUUGUUGGCCCAGAAAUUAUUCCUUUGCAGGUGGUGCAAAGGAUCAGCACGGGAGUUUUGACCUGCUCCGUUUCCGACCUGGGUCGGUUCACCCCUCCUUAGGCAACCUGGCGGUUCCCCGCUCCAGGGAGGUCACCCUCUUGAUGCUGAAUUUAGCACGGACACCUGAUGGGCACAGUGCACUGCAGCCCAGAGCUCCUGAGCUCAAGCCAUCCUCCUGCCUCAGCCUCCAAGUAGCCAGGACCACAGGCACGCACCCUGAGUACAGUCUUCCCAGCAAGAAGAACAUGAGUAUUCCCUCCAUCUGGGUCAAGAUUAGAGGCUGCUUUGAAGGAGCAAGGAAAAAUGUGGACUGUUCCCAAGUAUCACUGACUUUUCUGCUUAGCAUGGAAAAAUGUGUCACUUGAGUGUUUUCCUUUUCUUUCCAAGUUUUAUUUAUUUGAACUCAACAUUAUAGCAGCUACAAAAGAAAUUAUUAUAAAGAUUAAUGACCCACAAUUUAAUCACUUGGACACAACUGUUUUCUUCCUAUAUUUCUUUCCAUUCCUUAUCUAAAUGGGAAAUUAUUUUAUACAAUUGUAAUUACAGUAUAGAUGAUACUUUAAACAUUUAAACAUUACAUUAAAGACAAUUUUC